rnacentral:misc_RNA from 1 species
GAUGAAGAACGCAGCGAAAUGCGAUAAGUAAUGUGAAUUGCAGAAUUCAGUGAAUCAUCGAAUCUUUGAACGCACAUUGCGCCCCCCAGUAUUCUGGCGGGCAUGCCUGUUCGAGCGUCAUUUCAACCAUCAAGCCCUGCUUGUGUUGGGGUCCUGCGGCUGCCCGCAGGCCCUGAAAACCAGUGGCGGGCUCGCUAGUCACACCGAGCGCAGUAGUUUACUCUUCACUCAGGACGUGUAGCGGGUUCCGGCCGUGAAACCCCCCAAUUUUCAAGGUUGACCUCGGAUCAGGUAGGAAUACCCGCUGAACUUAAGCAUAUCAAUAAGCGGAGGA